AGAGGCAGAAAUGGAGGUUGGGUCAGGCCUGGCUCAGACCCUAGGCUCUGUCACUGACUGGCUGUGUGGGUCCAGGAAAGUCCUUGUCCUCUCUGGGCCUCAGUUUCCUCUGAAGAAUGGGAGUGAUAAGCUAUGCCCCAUCUCCUUCACCAAAAGGAAGCAAGACCUGAUGGAGCUGCUGGGUAACUGGAGAUGCCUCCUGCUGGCUCCUUUCUGGGGUCCCUGCCUAGCCCUGUCCUCUCCUCUUACUUUCUGCCCUGGCUGAGUAGGCUGUGGCCAUGUGGUUACUGCCUUCUCUGGGCAUAGCUGAUUGCUUCAUAUGGCCUGACCUAAGGCUGCAUGUCCAAAGUCUGGUUGGUGGCCAGUCUAACUCACUUUUGAGAACCUGCACUAAAAGAGGUAGGGGGUGGGAAAAACUGGGCAGGCCAGCGGAGGUGGGGAGUGGCAGCUCUGAGACCUGAAGCCUCAGAACCAGCUCUCCUCCUCCUCUUCCUCCUCAAGAUGGACCUCAACUCACUGAACUCUGGUUCACUCUUUUGGUCCCAGAGCUAAUUCUUUGGUUGUUUAAGGUUUAGCAUAGGAGACCCCAAAGCAGCAAGGUUCUGGCCCUGGUUCUGCCACUUGCCAGCUCCACGCCCUCAGAUCAGUGGCUUCAGAGCCUCAACGUGCUCAGCUGUGAAACAGGGACAGGGUGAGGCCUUCCCAGGUAUGAUCCACUGUGCCCAUCCUGGAUGCAGACUUUAAGCAGAGUCACAUCAACAAGAAGAGCUGUGAAGGUCAGGGCAUGACCCACAGAUGCCCAAACACUGCACUGGAGGUCCAGGAAGAUUCUGCUGACAACGCAACCCUGAGCCAAGAUCUGAAGGAUAAGAGGGAGCUUAUAACAUGGAAGAAGGAACAGUAUUCCUGGCAAGUGGAACAGCAUGUGCAAAGGUCAGGUGGUAAGAGGGGCUUCAAGGACAGUCCUAUGGCUGGAGCAGAGUGAUUGAGGGCAUGUGAAAUGAGAGGUGGCCAGGGUGGCAGGCAGGGACUAGCCCAAUGGCCGUGAAAGGGAUGGGACUUUGGUCACUGUUUCGCAUUUCCAGAUGUUUACUAUGUGCCAGGCUUGGUACUAAAUGCUUUUCUGGAAUAUCUCACUAGAUUCUCACAUAGAUGAAGGGCUUGAUCUUAGAGAGGUUAGAUCCCUCAGCCGAGAGCCCACAGUGAGGAAGCCAUGGGGCCUGUGUCCCUGACUGCAAGACCUGUGCUCAGAACGGCCAGGCCACACAGACCUCAACUCUCACUACAACCUCCUGAAGUCGGUGUGGUUACUCUUCCCACUUUACAGAUGAGGACAUGGGCCCAGAGAGGUUAUGUGAGUGACACAGCUUGAAGGUGGAGUUAAGCCUGGGCAGUCUGGCUUCAGAGUGUCCACAGUCUCAACCACUGCCUCACAUGGCUUCUUAGAAAAUAUUAUAAAAAGAAGCUCGGGCUGCCAUGUGGAAAAGAAUGGAGAGGGGACAAUGACACAGCUGGGAGCAUGCUGUGAUGGUGUACAGCGGACACAUUCAGGAUGAGGUGAAACAGGCUGGCCCUGGUGAGAGGCUAGAUGGGGCUGGGAUGAGGGUGGAGACAAGUAGUCUUGGGGUUGGCUUGGUGCAGCUGGGGGGUGCGGGGAGUGUCUCUGAGGUGAGGCCGGGGGUAUGGGAACGCCAUGUUUGGUCUGGGACACGGUGGGCUUGGGAUGGCUACAGGACAGUGCAGUGGAGAGUCAAAAAGGCUGCUCGGACCCAGGUCUGGCGAGAUGGAAGCUGGAGGUCAGGUGAGCUGUCUAGGAGAGGGACAGAGUGGGAAGGAGAGGGUCUCGACUCGGCUUUCUUGCCAAAGGAGGGUUCCGAAAUGAGAAACUGUGGAAUCUAAGCUGGAGAGGAAGAAAGACGGAGAAUGAGUGAACGCACACGUGUGGGACAGAUAGAUGAAUAUUCAUGUCUUUGGCUCCUAUGUACCUGAGUCUUCUAAAGCUGCAGGCCAUACUACCCCCGGGAGGCUGCAGGGAUGCCAGCUGGGAGAUGAAUGCAACUCUGCUGCCUGGGCAUGGGCCUGAGUGAGGGUGCAGACCCCUGCCUGUGAUCAUCAGGGAGGGUGAUGAGAACAAGGUGGCUGACAGGGUGAGGCCCAAGCCUGGAGCUUACCCAGGUGCGGGGAUGGGAGGGUCAGAGACCUUUGGGGGGUCUUAGGGAGCUUCCCCAGCCCUAAAGGCACCGCAAGCUGCCACUUCACACUGACCUGGGCAUACGCAGCUGCAGGAUCCCUUGCUCGCUCUCUCACAAGCAAAUGUAGACUGCGCAACCAUCCUGACCACAGAUCCAGAAAGCCCAGGACAUAACAGAGCCGCAGUGCCUGCCCUGAUCCACGCGCACACAGAUCUAGCCCAGGAACAAGCCCAUCCACGGUGAGGAACUUGUGGCCCAGUGGCUGGAGCCUCUCACCUGAGCCCUCACUGCCUGAGGACCCCCAGCCUCUGGCCUCAUUUCCCACCCUUUGCCAGCCAGCCUUGGGGACAAAACAGGUCUGGAUCUAAUCCAAGGUCUGGACUCACCCUGACACCCUGUGAACUCAAGGCCUUCCCUACCUCACCCUGGGCCCAGAGCCCCUACCUGUAAAGUGGAAGUGGGAAUGGCCACCAGCCAGGCAGAAACCCUCACUUAGGGCCUCAUGGCCAGGCAUCAGGACAGUCAGGAGAGGGGCCGAGGUAAGCCACAGAGGCCCUGCCUGUCUUGGUAUCCCACCAUCGCCAGGAGGGGACUGCAUGGGCAUCACACCCCUCACAGAUGAACAAAGUGAGGCAGAGAAGGGCCUCAAGAUGAGUUAGGGGCGAGGCCCCAGCUCUGCUGCUGCCCCUUCCCUUAUCACCCCUGCAGCCUGGGAUGCGAGGGUGGCCAGUGACAGACCCCAAGGACUCUAGGCUAAGGUCUCCUUACCUGCGUUCUGUGGCCUGCUCCCCGCCUGCAUGCCGCCUCAUGGGGGUCCUCUGGCUGGCCCAGGAGCACGGUUGGCCCAGCAGAGCAGCUCAGUGUUAUGGGGAAGGGAGGCCCAGCCCACCACGCCGACCGCCUGGGGCCCUAUGUAUAUUUAAUGAUGUCUAUUAUUCCUGUUUUGUCUCUGGAAAGGAGUGAGCAGCUGACAGGGGAGCCACGAACAGCCUGGAGAGCUGAGCAUGGGCCUGCUCCACACUCCAGCGGGGCCCGAGGCCCCCGGGAACUCUACCCCUCCUGGCAGCCUCACAGAACCUGCUGCAUCCAUCUCAAAAGGCAUACCUCCUCCAGGAAGCCUUCCCCGCUGCUCAGAGGUCUUAAAUCCGGGGUCUGCACUCACAAACUGUGCAGCCUACACCAGCUUCUGGGGGACAGCAGAACACUGUGGGGGGCCUGGCACAGUCCCUGGCACACGGUAGGCACUCAUCGAGCCCCUGCCAGCCCCUCUACUCCUGACUUCUGAGGCAACAGGAAAUGACCCGCCACCUUGUUCUCACAGAGCCUCCCUGCCAGCCCAGAUGGUCACAAGGGCCUCCUGGGAUGCUGCCCACCUUGGCAGCCAGGCCCCUCCGGAGGGGCCAGUCUGGGCCUGACACCCCCGAACACCAACCCCCUGGGCAGAGCCUGCCUGUGCCUGGAGCCCACAAGACGUCACCCACCCUGCCCACGGCAAUUCAGAACUGGAAUGGGCCAAUGCCUCCAGCAGCUAUGAAGGGGACCCUCCUGCAGUGUCUCCUUGGCCUCAUGGACAAAGUGCUCUGCCCUGGGCAGGAAGUCCUGGGCUCCGUGACGGCUGUGUGCUGCUGGAGGCUGUGCUGGCUUUUCCUCCUCCACAGCCAAAGUGGCUGGGAGGCCUGACGACUGGGGUCAGAACCCACAGCAAGGACAGCAGAGUGGCAGGAUGCCAGUGGCCUCACCUGAUGACCACACUGUU
rnacentral:lncRNA from 1 species